CCCUUAGAUGUUCUGGGCUGCACGCGCGCUACACUGCUGCAAUUAACGGGUUUUCUGUGCCGAAAGGCUUGGGGAAUCCUUUGAAUAUGCGGCGUGAUGGGGAUAGAAUAUUGUAAUUAUUACUCUUCAACGAGGAAUUCCUAGUAAGCGCGGGUCAGCAGCCCGCGCUGAUUACGUCCCUGCCCUUUGUACACACCGCCCGUCGCACCUACCGAUUGAAUGAUUUAGUGAGGACUUCGGACUGGGGCCGAUGCGGCUUUCGGGCUGCGUCGGUAUUCUGGAAAGAUGUCCAAACUGUAUCAUUUAGAGGAAGUAAAAGUCGUAACA
rnacentral:rRNA from 1 species